GCGCCCGUAGCUCAGCUGGAUAGAGCAGCGGUUUCCUAAACCGCAGGUCAGAGGUUCGAGUCCUCUCGGGCGUACCA
rnacentral:tRNA from 1 species